rnacentral:rRNA from 1 species
AUGGAGGAAGGGUGGCUGGGCACCGUGGCCCUCUGCUACUUGCUCGGCGGCAUGAUCAGCACAGCUGCUCCCAUGCUUGCUGUGAGCAUCGUGGCAGGGGUCAUCCCGGGGCAGAUGACCGCCGCGGGCAUGUACGCCGCUGUGGUCACCACGACCAACGCGAUCGCCACGGAGCUCGUCACCGCGUACGCUGCCAAGAAGGUGGCGGGGGCGAACGAGGACAAGUUCGGCCCCGUCAAGAAGGCUGCGGCAGCAGCGGUGGCCAACAUCCUCGGCUCGGCUGUGACCAUCAUGGCGGUCACCAGGUCGCCAUCACCGGCAUCGUCGUCGUCCUCUUCAUCCCCCUGGGCUACACCGCUGCGAAGCUCAAUGGACGGGCUGCGGCUGCUGGAGCUCUCCGCGUGCUGUGCGUCGGCAUGA